GAAGCUGGAAUCGCUAGUAAUCGCGGAUCAGAAUGCCGCGGUGAAUACGUUCCCGGGUCUUGUACACACCGCCCGUCACACCAUGGGAGUCGGAGAUGCCCGAAGUCUGUGACCCAACCUACGGGAGGGAGCAGCCGAAGGCAGGUCGGAUGACUGGGGUGAAGUCGUAACAAGGUACC
rnacentral:rRNA from 1 species